rnacentral:lncRNA from 1 species
AGUAUAGGUACAGCUCAUAAAGUCAGAAAGAAGAAUGAAAUACAUAGAAGACGGCAGCGAAGUGGAAGUAUCCCAAACAAAAUCUCCAAAGUGAUGAGCCGCGAAGGAUGCCAUCCAGUCUGUCGCACUGUUUGCCUCUAUGAAGAUAUGGGUAGCCCGAUGAGAGGCGCACUCCUCCAAAAGCCUACGGUAUCAUGAAUCAGUCGUGACCCGCUAGCCGCACUGCCAGACUCCUAGAUCCACUCAAUCGUUAUGGCUGAGUCCCCCUCCAAAAUAAUGCGAUCAGCACCUA